rnacentral:rRNA from 1 species
GAAUUUUGCCCAAUGGACGAAAGUCUGAGGCAGCAACUCCGCGUGAAUGAUGAAGGCCUUAGGGUUGUAAAGUUCUUUCACCGGAGAAGAUAAUGACGGUAUCCGGAGAAGAAGCCCCGGCUAACUUCGUGCCAGCAGCCGCGGUAAUACGAAGGGGGCUAGCGUUGUUCGGAAUUACUGGGCGUAAAGCGCACGUAGGCGGACAUUUAAGUCAGGGGUGAAAUCCCGGAGCUCAACUCCGGAACUGCCUUUGAUACUGGGUGUCUUGAGUGUGGAAGAGGUCAGUGGAAUUGCGAGUGUAGAGGUGAAAUUCGUAGAUAUUCGCAGGAACACCAGUGGCGAAGGCGGCUGACUGGUCCACAACUGACGCUGAGGUGCGAAAGCGUGGGGAGCAAA